AAACAAGUAAAAUAGUUUCACAAAUGCGAAUUUGUAUUGAUGAUUGUGUGGUACAAUUCUCUGGAAUUACAAAAGAGUGAUCCUCUGAUUCGAUCUCCUUGCAAAACUUAUUGAUUAGAUUUAUGGUAAUGUGGAUUUGACUUGAACACAAAAUAUCCUUCAAUUUGGUUGAGGGAUGGAUCGAAGAUUACUGAAACGGAAUUACAAUGAAUCUCUAGCUAUGAGCUUGUUUAGAAAUUCUUUGUUCUUUGCGUUCUUCGUGUUCUUCGUGCUUUCUUCGUCUUCGAAGGUUUGUGGUGGAAGUUCUUCGGAGCUUUAGAGGCUUGAAUCCGUUGAGCUUCAAUGAUUUGUGAUUUGUUGAUGUUUCUGGAGGCUUUUGAGCUUGAUUCCAGUGAACUUUGAGAUCUAGGCAGAUAGUUUGGAUGAUUAUGCUUCGAAUGUUCUUUGUAUUUGAAGAUUUGUGGUGGAAGUUCUUCGGGGCUUUGGAGGCUUGAAUCCGAAGAGCUUCACUGAUUUAUGAUUUGUUGAUGUUUUCGGACUUUUGAGCUUGAUUCCCGCAAACUUUAGGAUCUAGGCAGAUGAUCUGGAUGAUUCUGCUUCGAAUGUUCUUCGAUUUUGGGGUUGAAGUUCUUGAAGUUCUUGAAGGCUUUGAGGCUUGAUCUUCACAGAGCUUUUUCACUUCUGGAUUCUGGUCCCCCUAAAUGUCU